GUUUCACAACACUCAAAUCAAGCCAUAAACAAAGCAUUAAUAAUUUUGCCUCAAGGACAAAUGCAAUUGUACAUUUUUCAUUGUUUUUAGAAAACCAUAAAGGAAAAUAAAAACAAACUGCUGACUUUUUGGAGACUUUACUCUUCAUAACAAUUCUUGGUAUUUUUUAUUAGUCUGCCCUCUACAUGAAUCAUCUGAUCAUGAGAUCCCUUAACAACAGUUGUUUGAUGGACCUUCUAAAUUUUUUUUGGUAAAUUAUCCAUUGUUUGCUUAAUUCAAUUCCAGUGGUAAAUGUCAAGGCAUAUACAGGACAAGUCACUUUGGCAUAGUAAAAUAUCAAAAAGGUGUGAGAAAUUUUAUACAAAUGAAAAACAAUUCUAACAACAAUUAUUCUAACAAUUAUAACAAAAAGAAUAGGCACAUGCCAAGAUAGACAAAAAGCUAUUGUAUCAUAGGACAAGGUUGCUUAAGUUUCUACUUAAAGAUAACAUCAAUAAAACUAUAUUUUAGGUUAAAUGGCUUUAAAUAUUUCUUAUGGUUGAUAAUGUAAAGUUCUAAGAGGGGCUUUAAGGUUUUGUUAAUGUCAAGACUCAGUGGGGAUUAUCUUCAUGUGGUUUAUGAUUAUGCCAUUUCUCAAGAACAGCUGUUUGGUGGACCUUCUGAAAUUUGUUUCAUAAAUUAUCCAUUGUUUGCUUAAUUUCCAGUGGUAAAUAUCAAGGCAUAUACAGGACAAGUCACUUUGGCAUAGUAAAAUAUCAAAAAGGUGUAAGAAAUUUUAUGCAAACGAAAAACACAUCUAACAAUAAUUAUUCUAACAAUCAUAAAAAAGAGUGUAUGCACAUGCCAAGAUAGACAAAAAGCUAUUGUAUCAUAGGACAAGGUUGCUUAAGUUUCUACUUUAAGAUAACAUCAAUAAAACUAUAUUUUAGGUUAAAUGGCUUUAAAUAUUUCUUAUGGUUGAUAAUGUAUAGUUCUAAGAGGGGCCUUUAAGGUUUUGUUAAUGUCAAGACUCAGUGGGGACUUAUCUUCAUGUGGUUUAUGCAUUCAGGCCAGCUUAAUGAAAAGGUAGAGAGGGGCGUUUACCUUAUGUGGUAUAUGAAAAGUUAUGUUUAAAGUUUCUAUCUUGCUUUAAACAUAAUAGGCAAAAAAGCCAAAAAUUAAAUAGGUUUGUUAUUAUAUAAAUUGAUUUAAGCUGUAUUUUAGGAUAUUUGAUGAUUUUAUAUAAACUAUUUAACCACUUUGAGCUGGUUGCUAGGCAACAGAAUAUACAAGAUAGACCCAAAAUGCCACUAUUUUCAGACGGUCUGUGGUAAAGAGUAACAACAUGACAAAUUAAAUGAAAUAUUGGGAGUGGGGCCAAAAAUAGCCCUUAUCACUCCUUGUCCUUUGGCCCAGUAGUUUCAGAGAUGUUCAUUUUUGUAAAAGUUAUCAGAGGACAACAAUAAUGAAUGCCAAAUGAUGAGAAAAGCUCACUUGGUGCCUUUGGGCCAUAUGACCUAAAAACAACGAUUCAUACAAUGAAAUGCUUUCUCCUUGCACUUCUUCAAAAAAAUUUCAAGAACUUCUCUGUUCUUUUACACGAGGGACACUGUCAGUUAUACUAGUAAUGAACUGACAUGGUAUUAGCUUAAAUCUAUCAGACAUAUUGGAUGUAAUUCACAAACUGCUACUAAUGACACAUUGCCAUGCAGAUACAUCUCAACUGAUGUAAACAAUGCUUAAAGUUGUCAUACAGAUCACAACUACAAAAUAUCUAUCAUUAUCAAUAUGUGACAAUAUAUAUUUACAUGCAUCGGAAAAAUCUCAAGUGAUGUUAACUAUGCUCAAUGUUGUCACACAGAUCACUACCACAAAAUAUCUACCAUUAUCAAUAUGUGACAUUAUAUGAUAUUUACAUGCACAUAUGUGUAGGUUUAUUAUAGAGAUAACUAUAUCAAUGAAGACUGUCUAUCAAUACAUAAUAGGCAUAUUUUGAUCCCUGAUAUCAUUUAAUAGUUUGAUCACACCCUGCCCUGACAAGUUCUGUGACUCUAGCCAACUCAUAGCUUUGCUCACAAUAAACUUCAAUUCAUCAGCAUGUUUCUCAAGGAAUUUCUGCAGGAAAACUAUAACAUAGGCUGUGCACCAAACAUCCAACU
rnacentral:lncRNA from 1 species